AAAUGAAUUGACGGGGACCCACACAAGCGGUGGAGCAUGGGGUUUAAUUCGAUAAUAAGCGAAGCACCUCACCCAGGUUUGACAUCCUAAGAAUCCCCCAGAAACGGGGGAGUGCCGCAAGGAACUUAGAGACAGGCGCUGCACGGUUGUCGUCAGCUCGUGCCUUGAGGUGUACUGUUAAGUCAGCGAACGAGCGCAACCCUCAUCCUAUGUUGUUUUUUCAUGGGAGACUGCCGCCUCCAAGGCGGAGGAAGGUGGGGAUGACGUCAAAUCAGCGUGGCCCUUAUACCUGGGGCAACACCCGUGCUACAAUGGCCGGUACAAAGAGCAGCAAACCCGCGAGGGGAAGCCAAUCUCACAAAGCCGGUCUCAGUUCGGAUUGAAGUCUGCAACUCGACUUCAUGAAGUUGGAAUCGCUAGUAACCGUGAAUCAGCUACGUCACGGUGAAUAUGUUCCUGGGUCUUGUACACACCGCCCGU
rnacentral:rRNA from 1 species